rnacentral:lncRNA from 1 species
AGCCCAAUUGCUCAAUCAGAUUGAGUCAAUUAGCAAUCCAAUUGCUAAUCGAUCCUCCUGCAAUAUUUGCAUUAGGUCAAACAUCAAUCACAUUGAUCGUUUAAUCUUAGAACGAUUCUCAAUUAUCGAUUAACCAUCUGAUUAGGUUACAACCUCUAAUGUGUGUGACCCUAUAGAUUUGAACCUAAAUCGAUAGCACAGAAAUCAAUUUUUGUACCAGUCGAAGUAACCAUCUAGCAAUGAUUCCCGACAUCC